rnacentral:lncRNA from 1 species
AAAAAACAUUCAUGGAUGGGAAGAGAGAGUAGCCAGCUGUAUUCUAUCCACCUACGGGAAGGACAUGCCAGAAUUCGUCUAGGGUUCGUACCCUUGAGGCAGACACUUGAGACCUCCUCACCAAGUUACCCCCUGUGAACACCUAGCCAGGAAAAAGGAUCCUGCCCCUGAACUAUGACUUCUCCCCAGAAAGGAGCCGGUGAGUGGACGUUGCCUUGCAGCCCAGCCCUCCUCCCCUUCCGGCUCAUGCAAUGUCCAAGAAAGGAUAUCUUUGAGAAAGAUGAAAGAUUUAUUUCACACUGGCACCAGACAGAUCAGAAGCCGUAGGGUGGAGACUGAGGUGGAGUGGAGAACACAGCCGGCAUUCUUUCCAGGAAGCGGUUGGAGCCAAACCCCAUGGGAGAAUUGAUCUGAUCCAACUUUUAACUAAUUGAUGAAUUGCUGUCGAUGGUCCAUUCAUUAAAACGCAC